rnacentral:rRNA from 1 species
AUUGAACGCUGGCGGCAUGCCUUACACAUGCAAGUCGAACGGUAACGGGCCUUCGGGUGCCGACGAGUGGCGAACGGGUGAGUAAUGCAUCGGAACGUACCUUUCAGUGGGGGAUAACGUAGCGAAAGUUACGCUAAUACCGCAUAUUCUGUGAGCAGGAAAGCAGGGGAUCGCAAGACCUUGCGCUGAUUGAGCGGCCGAUGUCAGAUUAGCUAGUUGGUGAGGUAAAGGCUCACCAAGGCGACGAUCUGUAGCGGGUCUGAGAGGAUGAUCCGCCACACUGGAACUGAGACACGGUCCAGACUCCUACGGGAGGCAGCAGUGGGGAAUUUUGGACAAUGGGGGCAACCCUGAUCCAGCCAUGCCGCGUGAGCGAUGAAGGCCUUAGGGUUGUAAAGCUCUUUCAGCUGGGAAGAAAUCGCAUCUCCUAAUACGGGGUGUGGAUGACGGUACCAGCAUAAGAAGCACCGGUAACUACGUGCC